rnacentral:rRNA from 1 species
UACGUAGGCAGCAAGCGUUGUUCGGAGCUACUGGGCGUAAAGGGUGUGUAGGCGGUUGUUUAAGUUUGGUGUGAAAUCUCCCGGCUCAACUGGGAGGGUGCGCCGAAUACUGAAUGACUAGAGUGCGGGAGAGGAAAGUGGAAUUCCUGGUGUAGCGGUGAAAUGCGUAGAUAUCAGGAGGAACACCGGUGGUGUAGACGGCUCUCUGGACCGUAACUGACGCUGAGACACGAAAGCGUGGGUAGCAAACAGG